rnacentral:rRNA from 1 species
GAUGAACGCUGACAGAAUGCUUAACACAUGCAAGUCUUUGGCGAAGCUGUGCUUGCACAGCCUAGCCAAGGCGGACGGGUGAGUAACGCGUAAGGAACUUGCCCUGCAGUCAGGGAUAACAGACGGAAACGACUGAUAAGACCUGGUAAAGUCAGGCGGACUCAUGUCCAGCCUGAUGAAAAGAGAUGCUGCAGGAGAGCCUUGCGUCCUAUUAGCUUGUUGGUGGGGUAACGGCCCACCAAGGCGAUGAUAGGUAGCCGGCCUGAGAGGGUGGACGGCCACAAGGGGACUGAGAUACGGCCCUUACUCCUACGGGAGGCAGCAGUGGGGAAUAUUGGACAAUGGGGGCAACCCUGAUCCAGCAAUUCUGUGUGCACGAUGAAGGUUUUCGGAUUGUAAAGUGCUCUCAGCAGGGAAGAAAAAAAUGACGGUACCUGCAGAAGAAGCGACGGCUAAAUACGUG